UACGAAGGGGGCGAGCGUUGUUCGGAAUUAUUGGGCGUAAAGAGCUCGUAGGCGGUCUGUCGCGUCGGAUGUGAAAACCCAGGGCUCAACCCUGGGCCUGCAUUCGAUACGGGCAGACUAGAGUUCGGUAGGGGAGACUGGAAUUCCUGGUGUAGCGGUGAAAUGCGCAGAUAUCAGGAGGAACACCGGUGGCGAAGGCGGGUCUCUGGGCCGAAACUGACGCUGAGGAGCGAAAGCGUGGGGAGCAAACAGG
rnacentral:rRNA from 1 species